AGGGCAAGGAGCGGCUCUGGCGGGCUGGGCUCCCUCGCCAUGAGGGCAAGGAGCGGCUCUGGCGGGCUGGGCUCCCUCGCCAUGAGGGCGAGGAGCGGCUCUGGCGGGUUGAGCUCCUUCAGCUCGCCGCCAUGAGGGCCAGGAGCGGCUCUGGUGAACCGAGCUCCCUCGCCAUGAGGGGCCGCCGCCGCCAUGAGGCCUUCAGCCGAUGACCGAUCGCGGUGACCCGCAGCUGGGGCUGGCCUGGAGCCGCCCGAAGGUGCAGCCCUGAGGUGGCCCGACCCUGAGCUGUGCUGUGCUGGGACAGCCGGGGAGGUUCUCCGGGAGAGCAGAUGUGAAGGGAUAACCUGCCCGUGAGACACAACGAGAGCUCUGGAGCCACGUGGGUGAGGUAAGCUGUUGGUGUGGGGCUUGCUGGAACAGCAGGGGUGGUCAGAAGUAAAGCUGUUGAUGCUGCUUUGAAGAUCCUUGUUUGAAAGGUGAAGAUGGAAACCUGGAGCCCACAGUUUAAACGGGGCAGAUGGAGAAUUUGUUUCCAGAAUGUGGAUGAAGGAAUUGGAAACAUCAGCGGUGGUUUGGGGCAAGGUAUAACAAGAAUUAUGUGUACAAUUUAUUGUUAAUCUCCUCUCAUUGCUUGUUGGAAAUACAUUUUUACAUGACCUCAAUUAAACAUAUUUAUAUUUAA